rnacentral:misc_RNA from 1 species
GAUGAAGAACGUAGUGAAAUGCGAUAAUUAAUGUGAAUUGCAGAAUUCAGUGAAUCAUCGAGUCUUUGAACGCACAUUGCGCCCCCUGGUAUUCCGGGGGGCAUGCCUGUUCGAGCGUCAUUUCACCACUCAAGCCUCGCUUGGUAUUGGGCAACGCGGUCCGCCGCGUGCCUCAAAUCGACCGGCUGGGUCUUCUGUCCCCUAAGCGUUGUGGAAACUAUUCGCUAAAGGGUGUUCGGGAGGCUACGCCGUAAAACAACCCCAUUUCUAAGGUUGACCUCGGAUCAGGUAGGGAUACCCGCUGAACUUAAGCAUAUCAAUAAGCGGAGGA